UCAUCUCUAAUUUCCACCAUUUUCCUCCAUUGAUGGAAACCUUCGAAGCUUCCUAAAAUAUCACCAAACACUUCAAAUCACUCUAAUAUCCUCCAUAAACAUAUUCUAUCCACUUUUAAUCAAGAGAAUCCUUGAAGAAGAAGCUCCAAAGUAGAGUGAGAAAGUGAGAAUUUUGGUGAGAACUUGGACACAAGCAGAGCAAGGAAGUAAGUAACUCCGCUUUGACGGGAGUUUUUGAGUAAGGUCUUCAGGCUAAGCGAGGAGUGAGAUUGGUCUGGUGCUGGUGGGGGAUCGUUAGAUGACGUAUUUACUUUAUCGUAUUUCAUUUUUUUUUAUCGAUAAAGUCUUGAUGUGAAGUUACUUUGAAUAUGAAUCAAGUAAUAUACUCACGGUUAUGUGUCUCCAUACAUGUAACCGGUUCGCCUUUUGCUGCGAUACUCUGCAUAUUAUGUUUCCUUAUGAAAAAUAAGCUAUACCUGUUUUGUUUUU